GGGGACGUGGCCAAGCCAGGCAUGGCGGCUGACUCCAGAGGCCACGCGCCCGGUGACGAGACUCCAGACUGAUAUACCGAGCGGGCGACUGAUCAUCGCGCCGCGUUGACGACCCUCUGGAGUUCCGAGGCGCACACCGGAGAUAUCAGUAGAUCGGGGGUUCAAAUCCCUCCGUCCCCA
rnacentral:tRNA from 1 species